rnacentral:rRNA from 1 species
CAGUCGCCACGGUAAUACCGAGGGUGCAAGCGUUAAUCGGAAUUACUGGGCGUAAAGCGCGCGUAGGUGGUUUGUUAAGUUGGAUGUGAAAUCCCCGGGCUCAACCUGGGAACUGCAUUCAAAACUGACUGACUAGAGUAUGGUAGAGGGUGGUGGAAUUUCCUGUGUAGCGGUGAAAUGCGUAGAUAUAGGAAGGAACACCAGUGGCGAAGGCGAUCACCUGGACUAAUACUGACACUGAGGUGCGAAAGCGUGGGGAGCAAACAGGAUUAGAUACCCCAGUAGUCCCUGUCUCUUAUAC